UCUCUUGUCCAGUAGCGUAAUCCUUAUGUAUGGAUCUGAUUACUGGAGCACUGAAAGACGCUGUAUGAACAAAAUGGCCGUAUGAGGCAUAUCUCUAGGAACCAGCCUCUUUCCAUAUUGCUUGAUAGGUUGUUCAAUUCCUGUCUGGUUAACUGCUUUGCAACAUUUCUCAGAAGUCCCUUCAGCUCUGCUUCCUUCUUUGUUUCCAUCACAGCAGCGCCGACAAUUCAAUGACUUGGGUUGCUUCAAUACAUGCAGGCAAACUCAGCACCAGAAACUGCCCUUCUUUCUUAAAGCCAAAUCCGGAGUGAUUGAAGGGCUUUAAUGGACUUCAGAUCUGUGACCACACUCACGUCUGAGAAAACGCUCUCAGAUGUUAAUGAGCCGAAGCCCUAUUCAUGGCAUUCGCGCAAUCUCACCUCUAUCAGCACAAUUUAAUGUUGUAGCUGGGGGACAGUUUGACUCAUGGGGGGUUUUGCCUGCAAACUCACUCCUGCCACCUUCACUCAUUUUGCAUCGUAUGCAAACUCUCGCUCACUUGCGUGAAGAAGGUGUACUGCAAGGGAUGGAAAGUGAUAAAGUCUUUCUCCAAACAGCUCCUGGAGAGCUACUUUACAGACAUUAUCUGGUGGAGGGCUCUCGAGAUGCAGAUAUUAAUGAUAUUUCUCAUAUUCAGUGAAGUAAACACAUUAAAAAUAUCCAAGGUUGAAGAUCUCUAGAAAUCUGGUUUUGAAGGCCAAAGUAUGCACAGCACUAGCUGAGCUGUAGGAGUAUACUGGUUCUGUACAGCAAAAAGUAAAAAGAAAAGUCUGUAAGGCUUGUCCCAAGCUGAACUUGAAUGGGCUUGGGGUGGAAAUUUUGUCAGCCGUGGUCAUAUGCAGUGAAACAUUUGUUUCAUGCUGGCAGUGGCAAUGAACAUUUUUUCUUUCUUCAAUAAUUUACAAAAUAUGAGCAAGUAGGUAGUUAAAGCAUUUCAAUUCUUCCAUGAAUGGAAUUGUUUCACAUGGUAUUUUCUAAGCAGAAAAAUAACUGGCACUGGGGGAAUUACUUUGUCACUCUCACAAAAUAUAAUUUCAUCCAAACGGCCAAAAUAAUGCAAUUAUCUGGGCAGAUAGCACAGCACACUCCGCAUACAUGGGCAGUGAAGAUAGCCUUUUAUUCCAUGAACAAGAGAUCAUUGCUCUGGAAAACUUGCUGGGUCACUUCUAAUUAUUAAAAGAGCAAAUUCAUGGUUUCUUUGUGGACUAGUCAUACCGUAUAGUAUUUUCUUUUUCGUUCUAUUUAAAUUUAGAUUGGUUAUUCAUACUUCCUGGCAGUGGUUAUAAAAGGAGGAUGACUGAGAAUUUGGUAGCCCCGCUCACCAGCCUGACACUUGGGUCACCUCCACACAUGCCUCCUGCCUGCGGAUACCGGGUGGGAUUGACGUCAUUUGAGGCCAGGAAGUCAGUAGAGAGUGGUUAGGCAACUGCUGACUUAGUGGGGUGAAGCCCUGAGGUCCCCAGAAAAACCCGAUCUCCAGCCCUGUACCCUGAAAACGAGGGUCAGUAAGGAACUGCUCAGAUGUCAGGACUGCUGAAGCCCAGUGGAUUUGUGUAACAGCUGAAGAGCAGUAUAUCUCACAACAUUCCUGUCUUCAUGUGGCACAUGUGGCACAACAUUGAGGAAUACGCCCAGAGCAUUGUAGUAUGGACCUCACCUGCAGCCAGAUAUGAGAAGUGGAAGUUGCAGCAGCUGCCAAAGGACAGCUUCAUAAAGGAGUUGAACACUUUGGAUCAAAAAAGGGGAGCUGCAAGCAUUCUGAAGGAUCAGGGCUUGGAGAUUUCCUUUGGCUUCAGCUUCAGGCAAAGCGCAGCAUCUCUCACUGGCAAAGAAAUCAUCCUUUUUGACUAUGUGAUAAAAAAUUGAUUGAGGGUUUCCGCUCCCCUGCUUCCAAGUGCCUUGCAUUCCUCAGUACGGAUGUCCAUCAUUAGUGAUUAUGGACCUGAAACCUUUCCACAAUUACUGUGGUUGCACUUCUGCCAAUAGGAAGCAAUAGUGAGAUACGAUCACUGAGCGUGGUCCUGUCGUGUUUGCGGGUUGUGUGGUCUUCUCUUAAUGUUGGCUAAACACAGUGUCCCACCACAGCUGACUUUUCUCUGCAAUAUGUUAUGUCUAAUAAAGCUGAAGCCAUACAAUGCC